UGAGGAAUAUUGGUCAAUGGCCGGAAGCCUGAACCAGCCAUCCCGCGUGAAGGAAGAAGGCCUUAUGGGUUGUAAACUUCUUUUCUGUUUGAAGAAUAAGCUUGUCGAGACAAGUGAUGCCGGUAGGACAGGAAUAAGCAUCGGCUAACUCCGUGCCAGCAGCCGCGGUAAUACGGAGGAUGCAAGCGUUAUCCGGAUUUAUUGGGUUUAAAGGGUGCGCAGGUGGUUUAAUAAGUCAGUGGUGAAAGUCUGCCGCUUAACGGUAGAAUUGCCAUUGAUACUGUUGGACUUGAAUAUGGAUGAGGUAGGCGGAAUGUGUAGUGUAGCGGUGAAAUGCUUAGAUAUUACACAGAACACCGAUCGCGAAGGCAGCUUACUAAUCCAUGAUUGACGCUGAGGCACGAAAGCGUGGGGAUCAAACAG
rnacentral:rRNA from 1 species